rnacentral:tRNA from 1 species
GGCCCUUUCAGCAGCCCACAAUUCAUUAAGGGAACGGCCUUCUAAGCCGGAGGUCGCGGGUUCGAAUCCCGCCGGGCCCGCCA